rnacentral:rRNA from 1 species
AGCGAACGCUGGCGGCAGGCCUAACACAUGCAAGUCGAACGGAUCCUUCGGGAUUAGUGGCGGACGGGUGAGUAACACGUGGGAACGUGCCCUUUGGUUCGGAACAACUCAGGGAAACUUGAGCUAAUACCGGAUGUGCCCUUCGGGGGAAAGAUUUAUCGCCAUUGGAGCGGCCCGCGUCUGAUUAGCUAGUUGGUGGGGUAAAGGCCCACCAAGGCGACGAUCAGUAGCUGGUCUGAGAGGAUGAUCAGCCACAUUGGGACUGAGACACGGCCCAAACUCCUACGGGAGGCAGCAGUAGGGAAUCUUGCGCAAUGGGCGAAAGCCUGACGCAGCCAUGCCGCGUGAAUGAUGAAGGUCUUAGGAUUGUAAAAUUCUUUCACCGGGGACGAUAAUGACGGUACCCGGAGAAGAAGCCCCGGCUAACUUCGUGCCAGCCGCCGCAGUAAGAC